rnacentral:pre_miRNA from 1 species
UAUAUACUCCCUCCGUUCGGAAUUAAUUGUCGCAGAAAUGGAUGUAUCUAGACGUAUUUUAGUUCUAGAUACAUCCAUUUCCGAGACAAGUAAUUCCGAACGGAGGGAGUACAUU